rnacentral:lncRNA from 1 species
GUAUAUCACAGAGAGACUUACAGCCAAAUUGCAGAACAGCCCAGCCAGACACAAGGCACUCAGUACCAGCUGAUGGACAGGACUGUGGCAGAGAAACAGUAGAUAAUUUAGAGUUGAGGGUAGCUGGUGACUUCAACUUAAUCAGCAUGAUGUCAUUAUCAAAAGUCCAUGAAUUAUAAUCAGAAUGGGGAAUCAUCUUGGCUGCAUCAAUGAACUGCUCAGCACCUUCAAUUUCAUCAAUGUUAUGUUUAAGACACACCUGUAGUUGGCUGGGUUUAAGAGUUAAAAGUUUACA